AAUGAGGAGCCUGAUUAAAGGAUUAUUUUGAUAGAAUAAAUUAUGUAAGCAAUUUACCUUCAUUA
rnacentral:tRNA from 1 species